UACAGAGGUCUCAAGCGUUGUUCGGAUUCAUUGGGCGUAAAGGGUGCGUAGGCGGCGCGGUAAGUCGGGUGUGAAAUCUCGGGGCUUAACUCCGAAACUGCAUUCGAUACUACCGUGCUUGAGGACUGGAGGGGAGACUGGAAUUUACGGUGUAGCGGUGAAAUGCGUAGAUAUCGUAAGGAAGACCAGUGGCGAAGGCGGGUCUCUGGACAGUUCCUGACGCUGAGGCACGAAGGCCAGGGGAGCAAACGGG
rnacentral:rRNA from 1 species